CAAAUCGCGCAUUCAUUUAAUUCUGUUUAUUCAAAUCGCGCAUAGUAAAAGUAGCUGUGCAUUAACCUUAUUCAAGGAACUCGAUUCUCUUAUUCGUAAAAUCAAUUAUGAACACAGGGGAGGUUUUUACCUUAGGGAGACUCUCCAUUGCCAUUUAUAAAUCGAAUUACAUCAGUUUCAUUGGGAAUCUCUUUCCUAAAGAGAUAACAUAAUUUUUUUUAAAAAUCCUUUUUACAUAUUUUAUUUUUUUUAUAUAUAAUAAUACACCUUUUUACAUUAUUUAAUUUUAUGUUCUUAUAUUUUAACAUAUGAUGGUAUUAAAAUUAUGAUGAAGUAUAUAUGUUAUAUUUAUAAUACUUGUAUUAUAUAUAAUUUAUUUAAAUAAAAAAUUUUAAUUUUU